rnacentral:rRNA from 1 species
UACGUAGGGGCCGCGCGUUGUCCGGAGUUAUUGGGCGUAAAGCGCGCGCAGGCGGCCUCGCGCGCCCGACGUGAAAGCCCCCGGCUUAACCGGGGAGGGUCGUUGGGGACGGCGGGGCUUGAGGGCGGGAGAGGGUGGUGGAAUUCCCGGUGUAGUGGUGAAAUGCGUAGAGAUCGGGAGGAACACCCGUAGCGAAGGCGGCCACCUGGGCCGACCCUGACGCUGAGGCGCGAAAGCCAGGGGAGCGAACGGG